rnacentral:lncRNA from 1 species
CUCGGGAACGGGACCGGCAGAUCGGGGUGACAGGAGCAAACGUUUGGACGAGCGCGCCAGCCAAACCUUAGCUCGCCGCGGUCGCCGUCGAGCCCGUUGUGACCCGCACUACUGGCUAAUGCCUUUGAUCGGUAAUUUGGACAUCUAAUCCCGGGGGACGGGGCUUGCUCAUAUUAUAGUGCAUUCGUCCUACACUGAUCCUCUACCU